rnacentral:rRNA from 1 species
UACGUAGGUGGCAAGCGUUGUCCGGAUUUACUGGGCGUAAAAAGCGCGCAGGCGGUCGUUCAAGUCGCGUGUGAAAGCCCCCGGCUCAACUGGGGAGGGUCACGCGAUACUGAUCGACUCGAAGGCAGGAGAGGGUAGUGGAAUUCCCGGUGUAGUGGUGAAAUGCGUAGAUAUCGGGAGGAACACCAGUGGCGAAGGCGACUACCUGGCCUGUUUCUUGACGCUGAGGCGCGAAAGCUAGGGGAGCAAACGGG